rnacentral:rRNA from 1 species
UACGAAGGGGGCUAGCGUUGCUCGGAAUCACUGGGCGUAAAGCGCACGUAGGCGGACUCUUAAGUCGGUGGUGAAAUCCUGGAGCUCAACUCCAGAACUGCCUUCGAUACUGAGAGUCUCGAGUCCGGGAGAGGUCAUGGGAGACUGCUCGACUGGAGGCAGGCAGAGGCCGGUGGAAUUCCCGGUGUAGUGGUGAAAUGCGUAGAGAUCGGGAGGAACACCCGUGGCGAAGGCGGCCGGCUGGGCCUGACCUGACGCUGAGGCGCGACAGCGU